rnacentral:misc_RNA from 1 species
ACAUGAAUAAUGGAUCAUCUAAGGUAUGCAUUUAGAUAUGCAAUGCAGCCACUCCCUUAUAUUGGUAUCCCCAUGCCUUUAGUUUGGUCUUGUUGCUGUUUGUUGCAAAUUAGUCAUUUAGUUGCUUCUACGCGGCUAUCUGAUGAAUAGUAAUAGCAAACAAGUGAUUCUCAUUAUCUCACAUAAUCAUACGCCAUGUCAGCACUAACAGAUAAUACUAAUAGGUUGAGGGACCUUAAAUCAGAGCUUGAGCCUGUAAUAGUUACACUGACGUCCCCUUGCACUUGGCUACUUGACCUUGUAGCCUGUAAGACACCACUCUGUAAGGUUGGUGGAUAAGCAAGUUGCUUUUGUAACCGAUUCUUCAUGAAAUCUUUGGUUGACUAAUUUUUAAUGUUUGUGGAGUAUGUUUACGAGACUAUAUGAUAUAUUUUAUUCCGUGCUUUGUUUUUUUUGUAUAGUUUUUAUUCCAUACUUCUGUUAAGAUUAUGUUUGCAAGUUAGAAUUUACA